rnacentral:rRNA from 1 species
AUGAACGCUGGCGGCGUGCUUAACACCUGCAAGUCGAACGGAAAGGCUCCUGCUUGCAGGGGUACUCGAGUGGCGAACGGGUGAGUAACACGUGGGUGAUCUGCCCUGCACUUCGGGAUAAGCCUGGGAAACUGGGUCUAAUACCGGAUAGGACCACAUUUUGGAUGGUGUGGUGGAAAGUUUUUCGGUGUGGGAUGAGCUCGCGGCCUAUCAGCUUGUUGGUGGGGUAAUGGCCUACCAAGGCGUCGACGGGUAGCCGGCCUGAGAGGGUGUACGGCCACAUUGGGACUGAGAUACGGCCCAGACUCCUACGGGAGGCAGCAGUGGGGAAUAUUGCACAAUGGGCGCAAGCCUGAUGCAGCGACGCCGCGUGGGGGAUGACGGCCUUCGGGUUGUAAACUCCUUUCGCUAGGGACGAAGCGCAAGUGACGGUACCUGGAGAAGAAGCACCGGCUAACUACGUG